UAUCUCUGUAGAGUCUGCAUAUCAAUAAGCGGAGGAAAAGAAACUAACUAGGAUUCCCUCAGUAACGGCGAGUGAAGCGGGAAGAGCUCAAAUUUGAAAUCUUCAAGGUUCUACCUUGACGAAUUGUAGUUUAAAGAAGUGUUUUCUGUUGGAGUUUUGGUAAAAGUUCUUUGGAAUAGGACAUCAUAGAGGGUGAGAAUCCCGUAUUUGACCAUUACUUCCAGCGUUGUGAUACACUUUCAAAGAGUCGGAUUGUUUGGGAAUGCAGUCCAAAAUGGGUGGUAAAUUUCAUCUAAAGCUAAAUAUUGGCGAGAGACCGAUAGCGAACAAGUACCGUGAGGGAAAGAUGAAAAGAACUUUGAAAAGAGAGUUAAACAGUACGUGAAAUUGUCAAAAGGGAAGCGUUUGACACCAGUGUUGUUUUCUCGAAAAUCAAUUAAAAAAGUGGGAUUUUGUAUUGUUAUGACCUUAUCAGCUUUACUGUACUCUUUUCUUGUCUUUUUUUAAUGCACUUUUCGUUUAACAAGUCAACAUCAAUUUCUCUUGUUGUAAAAAGGGUCAUUGGAAGGUGGCUUUCUUUUCGGAGAAAGUGUUUAUAGCCUUUGCCUCUGCAAUCGGAGAGAUUGAGGUCUGCAGCGUAGAUCCUUCUGGAUUAGAUACAUUUGUGCUAAGUUAUAGCCUUUCAUAGACAACUUGUUGACUAUGAUUAGUCAUGUAGCUUACUCGCUUAUGCUAUUUUACCUACGCUUAGGAUGUUGAUAGUCACAGCGUGUAC
rnacentral:rRNA from 1 species